rnacentral:rRNA from 1 species
CUUGACAUGUAUGGAACCUCGGUGAGAGCUGAGGGUGCCCGAAAGGGAGCCAUAACACAGGUGCUGCAUGGCUGUCGUCAGCUCGUGUCGUGAGAUGUUGGGUUAAGUCCCGCAACGAGCGCAACCCUUGUCCCUAGUUGCUACGCAAGAGCACUCCAGGGAGACUGCCGGUGACAAACCGGAGGAAGGUGGGGAUGACGUCAGGUCAUCAUGGCCCUUAUGGGUAG